UACGGGGGGGGCAAGCGUUGUUCGGAAUUACUGGGCGUAAAGGGCUCGUAGGCGGCCCACUAAGUCAGACGUGAAAUCCCUCGGCUUAACCGGGGAACUGCGUCUGAUACUGGAUGGCUUGAGUUCGGGAGAGGGAUGCGGAAUUCCAGGUGUAGCGGUGAAAUGCGUAGAUAUCUGGAGGAACACCGGUGGCGAAGGCGGCACCCUGGACCAAUACUGACGCUGAGGAGCGAAAGCCAGGGGAGCAAACGGG
rnacentral:rRNA from 1 species